CUUUCAGAGCAUGAUCCACUAAAACAAGGAUUGAAAC
rfam:Methanomethylovorans hollandica DSM 15978, complete genome.